CGGGGGGCAGCUACCAUGCAAGUCGAGCGGAACGAUGGGAGCUUGCUCCCAGGCGUCGAGCGGCGGACGGGUGAGUAACACUUAGGAAUCUACCUAGUAGUGGGGGAUAGCUCGGGGAAACUCGAAUUAAUACCGCAUACGUCCUACGGGAGAAAGGGGGCAGUUUACUGCUCUCGCUAUUAGAUGAGCCUAAGUCGGAUUAGCUAGAUGGUGGGGUAAAGGCCUACCAUGGCGACGAUCUGUAGCUGGUCUGAGAGGAUGAUCAGCCACACCGGGACUGAGACACGGCCCGGACUCCUACGGGAGGCAGCAGUGGGGAAUAUUGGACAAUGGGGGGAACCCUGAUCCAGCCAUGCCGCGUGUGUGAAGAAGGCCUUUUGGUUGUAAAGCACUUUAAGCAGUGAAGAAGACCUAACGGUUAAUACCCGUUAGCGAUGACAUUAGCUGCAGAAUAAGCACCGGCUAACUCUGUGCCAGCAGCCGCGGUAAUACAGAGGGUGCAAGCGUUAAUCGGAAUUACUGGGCGUAAAGCGAGCGUAGGUGGCUUGAUAAGUCAGAUGUGAAAUCCCCGGGCUUAACCUGGGAACUGCAUCUGAUACUGUUAAGCUAGAGUAGGUGAGAGGGAAGUAGAAUUCCAGGUGUAGCGGUGAAAUGCGUAGAGAUCUGGAGGAAUACCGAUGGCGAAGGCAGCUUCCUGGCAUCAUACUGACACUGAGGCUCGAAAGCGUGGGUAGCAAACAGGAUUAGAUACCCUGGUAGUCCACGCCGUAAACGAUGUCUACUAGUCGUUGGGUCCCUUGAGGACUUAGUGACGCAGCUAACGCAAUAAGUAGACCGCCUGGGGAGUACGGCCGCAAGGUUAAAACUCAAAUGAAUUUGACGGGGGCCCGCACAAGCGGUGGAGCAUGUGGUUUAAUUCGAUGCAACGCGAAGAACCCUUACCUGGUCUUGACAUACACAGAAUCUUGUUAUAGAUACGAGAGUGCCUUUCGGGAAAUGUUGAUAUCAUGGUGCCUGCAUGGCUUGUCGUCAGCUCGUGUCGUUGAGAUGUUGGGUUAAGUUCCG
rnacentral:rRNA from 1 species